GGUGUUACUGUGCCAGGUCAACAACAUCCUUUAUGACAGUAUUCAUACGUCUAUGGUGUUACUGUGCCAGGUCAACAACAUCCUUUAUGACAGUAUUCAUACGUCUAUGGUGUUACUGUGCCAGGUCAACAACAUCCUUUAUGACAGUAUUCAUACGUCUAUGGUGUUACUGUGCCAUUUCAACAACAUCCUUUAUGACAGUAUUCAUAUGUCUAUGGUGUUACUG